CUGUAAGUUUAAGAUAAGCUAACCCCUUUCUACAGACAGCCUUUUUAGGUCCUCAAAAUUUGGCUUAUUUACAGUCAUAUAUACACUUAUAUAAACAAUGGUGUUUUUAAUAGCUACGUUAUUGGUCUCACUUUCGAAAUCCUGUGAUUACCUUGGCAAAUGCAUUUUGCAUGUGCUUCUCCAGGUGCCGGUGGAAGUGGGGUCGCCCAGUGGUUAAAGUGUUUACUCUUCACUC